rnacentral:snoRNA from 1 species
UACACUAAAUUUGAUGUCGGUGGGGACGUUAUUCGAUGUAAUUGGAUGAAUGUUCAUCAUUUGUCGUAUUCCUUUAGUUAGGUCGAUAGUCCCCGUUUAUUUUAAUCACGUAAUGUACCAAAAGUUAUGCCAUAUUUAGAUACUGAUAUCGAAGAUUAAGCUACGGUUGUACCAUUUUUUUGAAAAAAAAUGGUAUAAUUAUCCAACUUUAAAACCAUCGCCGUUAGAGGUUGCUUCUUUUCGGAGUUAAGCGAUCCAUGAAAUGGUGAUGACCUAUGGUCUGGAACAUUU